rnacentral:rRNA from 1 species
CCUACGGGAGGCAGCAGUGAGGAAUAUUGGUCAAUGGGCGCGAGCCUGAACCAGCCAAGCCGCGUGAAGGAUGACUGCCCUACGGGUUGUAAACCUCUUUUAUAAAGGAAUAAAGUGAGGCACGUGUGCCUUUUUGUACGUACUUUAUGAAUAAGGAUCGGCUAACUCCGUGCCAGCAGCCGCGGUAAAACGGAGGAUCCGAGCGUUAACCGGAUUUAUUGGGUUUAAAGGGAGCGUAGAUGGGUUGUUAAGUCAGUUGUGAAAGUUUGCGGCUCAACCGUAAAAUUGCAAUUGAUACUGGUAGGCUGGAGUACAGUUGAGGUAGGCGGAAUUCGUGGUGUAGCGGUGAAAUGCUUAGAUAUCACGAAGAACUCCGAUGGCGAAGGCAGCUUACUAAACUGCCACUGACAUUGAUGCUCGAAAGUGUGGGUAGCAAACAGGAUUAGAUACCCGUGUAGUC